UACGUAGGAGGCGAGCGUUGUCCGGAUUUACUGGGCGUAAAGCGCGCGCAGGCGGCACACUAAGUACGAUGUGAAAUCUCCCUGCUCAACUGUCAGGGUGCCAUUGAUACUGCGGAGCUUGAGUACAGAUGAGGUAGGCGGAAUUGACGGUGUAGCGGUGAAAUGCUUAGAUAUCGUCAAGAACACCGAUAGCGAAGGCAGCUUACUGGGCUGUAACUGACGCUGAGGCACGAAAGUGUGGGGAUCAAACAGG
rnacentral:rRNA from 1 species